rnacentral:lncRNA from 1 species
UGUGAUUUUGUGCACUUGCAGAAACGGCCCAGCGUGCCCAAGUUCGGCACCUGGGAGGCCGACAAUGUCGGGUACACGCUCUACUUCGACAAGAUCCGCGAGAACAAGGGCGCCACCGCGCCGCCGCUCCGCCAUCCGUACAACCAUAACGACCCCGCCGAAAACCCCGGCGUGAUCCGCGCCGCCGACAACCUCGCCGCCGCGCCGUCCUCCAGGCCGGCGACGUCGAGCGGCCACCGCGAAUCGCAGAGGCAUCAUCAGCAGCCGCCGGGCUCCCACCAGCACCACCGGCGCUCCGGCAGCGUGGCGUCAGACCCGGGCGACUUCCAGAGCAAGUUCGCGCCGCCGCCGCAGUUCCGCCCAAGCCCAAGCCCCUCCCAAUACGAUCACCACAGCUCCGACCACCGCCAUGGCCACGGACACCACCCACCCCAUGCCGGGUACAACUGCGGCGGCGGUGGGCGCCGCGCGCCGUCGCCGUCGCCGCAGGUGCACGCGGCGUCGAGGCGGCACCACCACGGCCGCCACCACCAGCAGGUGGCGCCCAAGGCGCGGUCCGCGUCCGCCUCGCCGCAGCACAACAUAUACGGCCGCCAGAGGGCAUCGGCGGUGCCCAAGUUCGGGGUGUGGGACGAGCAGAACGGCGAGGCGGCGGCGCAGGGGUUCACGGUGAUGUUCGACAACGUGAAGCGGAGCCGAGCCGCGGCCCGGGGCGCCGGCGCGGCCGGCGUCGUCCCGCGCUCGCCGCCGCAGGAGAUAAGCGCCGCCAACAUGAGGCACUCUCGGGAUCACUCCCUCAUGUCCAAGAUGUUCGGGUGCUUCCAACCAACCACAAGAGAAUGAGGACGAACGGCGAUGUUUCUCUGAUCCGAUCCUGUACAUGUAUCAACGUAUGUGACCUUGACCUAGCUAGGUCUUGAUCAUUAUCUCCCCUUUCUUUUUCUGUGUGGUGGUCUUGGGAUGUUGGUCUUUCUUCUAUGUUCUUUCACUGGAUUGGUUUUUGACUUGAGAAAAUUCCAAAAGGUUGAGUGGGAGCUAUAUAUAUAUAUAUAUAAUUGUUAUUAUCU